UAGGGAAUCUUCCGCAAUGGGCGAAAGCCUGACGGAGCAACGCCGCGUGAGUGAUGAAGGUCUUCGGAUCGUAAAACUCUGUUAUUAGGGAAGAACAAAUGUGUAAGUAACUAUGCACGUCUUGACGGUACCUAAUCAGAAAGCCACGGCUAACUACGUGCCAGCAGCCGCGGUAAUACGUAGGUGGCAAGCGUUAUCCGGAAUUAUUGGGCGUAAAGCGCGCGUAGGCGGUUUUUUAAGUCUGAUGUGAAAGCCCACGGCUCAACCGUGGAGGGUCAUUGGAAACUGGAAAACUUGAGUGCAGAAGAGGAAAGUGGAAUUCCAUGUGUAGCGGUGAAAUGCGCAGAGAUAUGGAGGAACACCAGUGGCGAAGGCGACUUUCUGGUCUAUAACUGACGCUGAUGUGCGAAAGCGUGGGGAUCAAACAGG
rnacentral:rRNA from 1 species